rnacentral:miRNA from 1 species
GUCUCUCUGUCUCUCUCUGUCUCUCUCUGUCUCCUCUCUCUCUCUCUCUCUCUGUGUGUGUGUGUGUGUGUGUGUGUGUGUGUGUGAGAGAGAGAGAGAGAGAGAGAGAGAGAGAGAGAGAGAGAGAGAGAGAGACUCUAUUCU